rnacentral:misc_RNA from 1 species
GUCAGAUUUCAGCAAUAAAAUCAUCAAAAUGUAUAAUAGUUGUAUAGCUGGUUUGCAAUUAGUCCUGCUUCUUCAAUAAUUCGACUAAUUUGGCUCUUCCUGCAUUGAAAUUCCUAUAAUCUAUAGACAUAGGAGUGGUUGAAUUUAUGAGCUGUAUUGUUGCCUGUUUGGUUUCAAGCAACGUUGAAUAGCGAAAAGGAUUCAUAUAACCGACCCCAACUAGUUU